rnacentral:rRNA from 1 species
UACGUAGGGGGCAAGCGUUGUCCGGAUUUAUUGGGCGUAAAGAGCGUGUAGGCGGCCAUGUAGGUCCGUUGUGAAAACUCGAGGCUCAACCUCGAGACGCCGAUGGAAACCAUGUGGCUAGAGUCCGGAAGAGGAGAGUGGAAUUCCUGGUGUAGCGGUGAAAUGCGCAGAUAUCAGGAAGAACACCAAUGGCGAAGGCAGCUCUCUGGGACGGUACUGACGCUGAGACGCGAAAGCGUGGGGAGCGAACAGG